AACUUAUACAACUUUAUGAGCAGGUGGCAGAUAUGGUAAUGUCCCUGAACUGAAAUGUGAUGCAUUGGACACAGCAUUGGAUGGUGAGUUGGGAACCAUAUCUUCUGUUUCUGGCUUUUCCCUUGACUUGCUGUAUGAUCUUCUGCAGCACUUAAUCUCUACUUUUCUCCACUUACAAACGAUUAUAAAGAUGUUUUCCUAGCUGCAUAAAGCACUUUGCUCUUUAGAAAUGGACAGUGCUGUGACAUGCAGGUAUUACUGGGUGUAGCAAAACAAGUAAAACUGGAAAAGCUGAAUAUGUUCAAUGCAUUUAAAUAUGCCUAGAGGUUAAAAAUUUAAUUGGCAGAGUGCCCUAGAUUUCUGUCUAAUAGGCCUGUUUCCGUGAGCUUCUGCCGUGUCUGACAUACUAGCCUGCUGCUGUUCAGACACAGCUGUACAUCUGGUGAUUUGAGCUGUACCACUCCAUCUCUUGUCCCCCUUUGUUGAGCGUGUUGGAGUUGGGGUGACGCCGAAAUACUCAGCCAAAGAUCUGUGCUUUCAUCUGAGUCUUGAGGAUGUGCUGGGACUGGUCCUGUUUUGCAGCGUGCAAUGCGAUCAGCGGGCACAGCGGAAAACUGCUGCAACGAGCGAGAGUGACGGGGCUUGCACAGCACCAGUGCUGCUCGACGAGGUGCACACGUGGGAAUAUAGGACCACAUGGGAGUUGUCACACUGCUCAGCUUUACAUGUCUGAUAUCACCACCCACUCUCCCCACGUUAUGUCUCCGAAGCUGAAGAGGUUGUUGCGCUGAAAACCCCGGGAGAGCACUCAGUCUGCAGCAGGCACUGGGAAGUGGUAUCCAUGUGGUCUGGUCAGGAUCCUUGCGAUUACGAGGAGCACAAGUGACACCAGAUGGAGUUCUCAUCAUCUCUCAUAUUCAAGGUCACGCUGCAUGAAGUGGCAGUGUCACUGCUCCGAGCAGUGCUGGCCCAGUGGACUGACCAUCCUGAGUGCUGCCUGUGUGACACUAUGGCAUCAAGAUUCUGGCCACUAAUGGGGAAGAAUGUCUGCACAAUGCUUGGAUAUGUUCCACGACUUUCAGGAGUGAAAUCUAAGAAGACUUAUGCUCUUGAAUCACAACGUAGCUUCUGAAGAUGACACAGUCACACUGGGAAAUGGUAAUACAAAAUUAGUAGAAAAUAUAGCUCUGGCCUACAGAGCUUUGCAGCUGCACACCACCAGUUCUUGCAGUUUGCUGAACCUGCCAUUCAGAUACAGGUCUGUGCCAUUCCAGUGGGGACCAGGCUUUCAGUCUUCCGUCCACAGGUACGUGUGGGUUAAACGGCAACCAAGAAAUGCAAAUCUAUUGCCAGUAAGCCGAAAUCCACUAUGUAAGGAUAGGCACCUCAGCUGGAGGUCAUCAGCGUGUACUUUGCUAGUUACAAUCAAUUGCCUUUGUAGCUUCAGAGAGGCAUUGCAUUAGAGAACAUGUAGAUUAAACCUUGACACUACUGAAGUCAAUGAGAGCUUUGACUGUGAUUUUCUAGGUCUUUAUCCACAAUACUGCUUCAUUUGUUUGAGGUCAGCUGAGAUAGUCUGGCAGUUUUAUGCUUACAUGGUAACACGAGGAGAAUGACAAGGCUGAACGGCUUAAUGAUAGUUAAAUCAAGAGCACUUUUAAGGCUGAGUAAAAGACAGUAUUUAGAGAUACAAAUGGAUGGAUUAAUUUUUUGAAAGAGGUUGAAUUAUUACAGUAUCAGAAUAAGCGUAUUUUGAAAUAGUUUUUCAGAAAAUGUCUGUUCUGGGACCAAAGGAACAUUUCUACAUUGUUCUUAAGCUUUUAUAUGUUUUGUAUUACAAACCUGCUCUCUGCAUUAAUUUUCUUGCAAUCACAUUUAGUGACUUCUCUUUUUUGUAUCAUGCAUAAUAAACCUCUCAAUAUUCUUCAUGCUUUUGCUGGACAUAAAGACACAGUUUAAAGCCUUUUUGCUGUCUGUGGCUGAGGAUAUUUUUUUUAACUCCACUCACUUGGUGACUGGUGUCCUAUUGUACAGUGGGGUUGUGAGCUAUGAUUUAUCAUCCCAGGCACUGCCUUUGCACAGUGAAGGGUAAUAACUGAGUUUCCUGACAUUGAUGAGGGACUGCAGAGAUAUGUACACAUGCAUGGCCACCUUUAAUACGUACCAACUCCAUUAUAGAGAGAAGACAUUCAUGUUGCUAGAUCUGCUAAAGCUAUAGAAAGGGCAGCUGGCACAGCCAGUGUCAGACUGGAAAUCCCAAAUCCUCAGUCUUUGCUUUAACGACUAGAUCACAAUCUGCUCCGUAGUGAUGAGGCUCUGUUUCUCUGCGUAGAUGUAGCAAUUUGAAAUAAAUAAAGUGGCUAAAGACCAUCUUCUUGUCAAGUUAAAUGCAGCCAAAUGUAGACCCACUUCAGCGUGGGGACUCUGCGUCUGUGCCAUCAGAGGAUCCUGCCUUCACUGCAUUGCACAUUUAGCUGAAAUACAGCUCCUGAAUCGAUUUAGCUGAGUGCUAUAUGUAAAAAGACACGUGAUUUUGGCUUUGCUAGCCAGCUGCAAGAACAGUGCCACCAAUCAUAGGAAAUGAACUGUCUCGCUCAGCUUAAAGAUGCCAUUGUAUUUUCUCUCCAUGGCUGCUGAGAGCAGAGGGAAAACAGGAAGGCCUGAGGCCUGGAAAAAAUGCAGAGGCAGCAAGAAGAAUACUUCUUGCUCCCGGAGGUAAAUGAGAAUUGUAAAUUACACCUUUUCAGUUUAUUAAGUACUAAUUAAUGGCUGCAAGCCUGGCAUUCUUCUACUAGACGUGUGGUGCCCGGGAAGCAGCCACCCGUGCAUUCGGAGGUUGAUUGCUAUCCUGUGAUUAUACAGAAUCCAAGCGUGGCUUUUUCUUUUUUGGGUAUUGCUGUCAUUUGAAUAAUAGAUCAUCAGCAUGCCUGGCUGCAGUGAUCCCUUAUUCACAAGUGGUUAUCGUCCAAGAAAGUUAUGUGACUGCUUCAGAGAGCUCAUAUGACACCCAGGCAGUGUGCCUGUGUGCUGGGAGCCUCGUGAAGGUCUGACUGACCUCCAGAGAUGGAAUUAAGGGUCCCUGACUAUCCCCCAGAAGCAGUAGGAAUCUGCUGAUCCCUGGUACGCUUAGGCAGGAUAUUCCUGACUCCAAAUAGAGUGAGCCAUGGCCACUGAAUAUCCUAUAAAUCUUGUUGCAGCUCCAGGUGAAAAAUACAUGUUCCAUGAAACCCAUCUCUGUGAGGAAGGUUUCUUCUGUAGAAGAUUUAUUCUGCUUUUCUUCUGUAGAGAAGAAACUACAGCACAUCUGCAACCUGGCUGCUACCGAGUCUCUUACUGCUAUCAAAGCAAGGGGGGGUGUUAAGGAAGGGACCAUAAGAGGACAGCAAGGUCACUCCACAGGUGAUUACAGGGAGCAUCCUCCAAGCAGGGAAGUAUGCGUGAAGGACCUGGUUUGAAAACUGGCGACAGAGGAUAACAUCAUGGGCCAAGAUGAAGCAGAAGGUCCCCUCCUGAUACCUAAUGACAGAGAAAAGUUUGUCAGUAAAGAUAGAGAAGGAGACUAACACUGAAGAGGUGCACCAGCGAGGGCAAGCACCCUGAAUGCCACUGAGGAGACUGGCAAGGACAGUGCUCUCUGCAGUCCUUCUCUGGGUGGGUAUCAGACUGGGUUUGCCAAGGUCAAAGAGGAGCACACUGUGGAGCCUGAGAUUUGAGAUAAUGAGAACCCAAACAGGAGUUUGAUCUGAGAGUCCAGCUUAGCCAUCUGGAGUCAAUUUAAUCUUGCCCUAAAAUGUUUCCCUCCCACACUACUCCAGACAGAAGAAAACAAUAGUAACAUAGACAAAGACUUUUUAGUGGCAGUGGAGCAAAUCUGAGAUCAAAGGUGGUGAUUUGGGUCACACAAAAUAUGAUCUGCAAGCUUCAGAUGCAGACGCUGAAUUACAUUUGGCUGUUCUCACUGUGCCUUGCUUUGUGCAUAUGUUUUGUGUUGCUCUACAAUGGCAGCUCAGCUUUAGCAAAAUUUUACCAAUACCCUAUGGAUGUUUACAGCAAGUAUCUCCCAGACAGGGAAAGAAGCAUGAGGGAGGUUCCUGCUAAAUCCCAUACCAGCUAAACCCCAGCUAUCUGAGUGUCCUCAGCAUAAUUCCAAAUAAUCCACUUGGCUGAAAUACAGACAAAUAGAAGAAAGGUUAGGUUUACUGAUUUUCUUUCAAUGUUCUAAAUAUUUUGCUUUUCCUCCCUUAAUUUGCAUGUUUAACAAAUACCAAAAUUAUUCCUUCUUUUGUGACUUAUGGCAACUAUUGUAUGACAGAUUGAUUUUUCAGUUUACUGGCAGAACCACCCAAAAAAAUGCAGGAUACCCCCCCGCCCCCGUUCAUUUUUAAGAUGUUUCAAACUCUUUUCCCUUUCUAACAAAUCUGAAACGAUUUGGGGCAAAAAGGUUUGAGGAGAGAUUACAUUGGCUAGAAGAUUUAUGCCUGCAUAAUUACACAAGGAAAACAGUUAGGUUGAAAAGCUUAACAACAGUUAAUUUAGGACCAUUAUUUAGCUGAAGUAUAAGGUCAUAUUUAGAGAUAAAAGGACAUGGAAGUUUUCAGAAAAGGUGUGGAAAAUAAGACCAGGAAAUGCAAAACCAUAGUGUGAACUUCCUUAACAGCUGAAUUGUUCACUGACACUGCAGUCCCAAAGGCAGCAUCUGCAUAGCUCUAUAUUAGUUUUAUAAUUAACUAGCUAAUAGUGGUGGACAUCAUCAUACAGCAGUUCUUUGGUUUGACUACAUCUAAGCUAGCAUGUGUAAAACAGCAUCAUAUGGCAUGAAUAGGAGAGGAUGUAAUUUCAGAGAGAUCCAUCCCCAGGUGGCAUUCCUUAAUAUUACAAACACUUUGCUUAAUUAUGCAAAUGCCACUGAGAAUAUUAAAGAAAAAGCUGGAAUCUCUAAUUGCAUGUACUUCCUUGUCUAUAUUCUGGAUACAUCCAACCGUUCUGCUGUAAUGCUUUUAAGGCUAUUUGCUGUAGUAGUAGCUUUGUGCUAAUUGUAUUCUGCACACAGGAAUUACCAAGUCUUGCUAAUUUUGAAAGACAUUACCCCAUUUUUGGCAAUCAGUUGAACUGAGGUAACUAAAUAAUUAGUCCAUAGAUAUGUAUUCUACUCUAAUCAGACAUUAAUUCUAAUAGGGUUUUUUUUAAAAAAAAAGAAACAAAAAGCAAAUUGGCAACUUUUGCAUAAAAAUUAUUUGUAAUAAUAGAAAGAUUUCCUCUAAAAUGUGUGGAAACAAAACUUCAAAUUUUGACUUGAAAAUAGUAUAAAUUAUAAAAACAUGAAGAUCAAAUACCAUUUUUUUAGUGCAAUUUCUUUAAAAAGUAUUUCCCACCUGAUUUUGCAAAACCCCAAACAAAUAAAUAAUGUCAAGGCAACAAAUCCCCAAUCCUACAUCAUUAUUAGUAAUAAUAUACUAGCUAGAAUAACAAUAAAUAGGUAUAAAUAAUGCUAUUAAUUGUGAAAAUUGUAUUUGCUUCUGACAUCUGGGCGGCAGACAGCUUACCUGGCAUUCAACUAUAAGUGGUGCCAAUUCAAGCCUGAAUUAUUUUGAGGUGUUUAGGUGGAGGGUUUGAUCCAAACCCACAUUUCAUCAUCACAUAUGCUGGAAAUAAAAAAAAAAUUGCUUAUCUGAAUGACAGCAGGGAGAAAGUCAUGUAAUUUGAUCUCUAACUCCAUAAUUUUUAGAGACUUCUCUUGCAAUGAAAGUCAUUUGCAUAGAUGAUAUUUUUGUCUGAUAUAUCAGUAUGCCAUAGAAUACAGAAACAAAUUACAUCAGUUUAAACAGAUUUUUGCAACUAGAUGAUUAUAAAUUUAACUUAUCCAAGUUAUUCACCUCUGGGUUAGUGUUUGAAUUUCCACUACCACUUUUGCAGCUUGCAUCAGGAGUAGAGAAGGAAAGAGUGUCAUCAGGAACAGGCCCAAGCAAAGCUGCUGACAGCAGCAAACAAAGGCGGAUGGAGAAAUUUGUGUUACAUUGCAGUGAACCAGCCCUUCAGCAAUAAAGGGGAUUAAUUACUGUGUACGCGUACACACUGACUAAUGGCAGAUAAUUUGGAAUGAAGAUGAAUUGUUCUCUAAUAUGUCAUGUUCGCUGGCCACAGGCUGUCGACUCGGCUGCCACAGUCCUGUGGGAGCCUUGCCAAACAGCCUCUUAGGACCUCUUAGGAAAGACUGAGUGAUUAUCCCUUCAUGUGCCCCUUAUGUUGACUUCCACAUAUCUUAGCUUAAACUAUGUCCGUAGUGUCCAACCAUGUCCAUAUGUUCAAUACGCCUAACUUAGCAUCUAGCCAAGACUGUCCCUGAGGCUGUCUCAUACUAUGAAUCUCCCAGUUUCCCUAGGCAGAAAGCUUUUGAAUUAGAGGGAUCUGGGAAAACUGAAAAGAUGGUGAAAAAAAAAAAAAUCAUAAAAAGAUAAUUUGUAGAGAUGUUCAGUAUUCAUUCUGUAAGGAUCACUCUUCUUUAAGGAGACGGGGAUUUAGUGAAGCUAUAAUUUUGAAACACCUGCCUGCACCUCGGUCUGAGUCUGCUGGGUCAUGCGUGCAUCAGGAAGGUAAUGUUCAGGCUCACAUUUGUCACGAUUAAAACUAAAAAUGACUCAUCUGCAGAGCCUUGGGUUUCCCUGCUGACUCGUGUUGGUCUUGCACUUGCACAUUUCUUCCAGCUCCAGUGAAACUACUCACUAUAUGGUGAUCUUAGAGGAAAGGAGAAUCAGCCAUUUCUCUGUCCUAUAAAAAGACUCUCACCCUGGAGCCAGCAGCAUUCGCUAUGGCUUAAAUUGUCCUUACAGAACUAGGAGCCAUUUUUCAGAAAAAUGAGUAGUCUUCUCAAAGGAAUGUUGGAGCCUGAAUUCUCAACCAAGCACAUCACUAAUGAUAGCUUGUGUUAGAAGAACAAUAGCAAGGAAGUUGAAGUCUACAUUCUGUGAGCUUAAGCACUUGGAAAUUUUUCAUUAUGUUUUGAACAAAGUUCCUUGCAGUCUGCAUGUCUUGGAGGAUGUUUGAGAUUUACAGAAUCGUUCAGGUCUCUGCAGGCAGUUGACUGAAAUGCACCCAGGUCUUUAUUAAUUGAUGCUUGCAAGUGACUCUUUGGUCCUGGCAGCAUAAUCCCCCAGGAACGUUCAGAUGCAUCAUGAAAAUGACAAGAAGUGCAUCCUUACUAGUAACCCAGUUUAAAACACUAAGUAGUAAAUGGAUGUGUAUCUUGGAUUACCAUGUUCCUUUCGGACCUGGUUCUUGCAGUUAAGGAUUGGUGGCAGAUUGCUUGAACCCUCGGUUUAGCUGUUGUAGCUGCAUUUGUUCUUGCCACCUGUUUGCUGUGAAUAAGUAACCCAUUAGUUUUCACAGCACAAGAUUUGAAAUCCCACUCUUGCACUGAAAAUGUAAGUACCAAAGACAAAUAAUAAGAAAAAGCAAAGAUGGCAGAAACUUUGAGGGACAGAUGCUCCUAAACACUCAUCUUAUUUUAUACAUCCUUGGUGAGCCAGUAAUUCCUCAUUUUUCUGGACUAUGGAGAGGUAUGAAGAAUUACUAAAUCAAUGCACAUGAUAUCCAUCAAAAUAGGAAUUUCUAUCAAUGCCAUACAUUAAUCCCUCUGAUCUAAUAGUACACUUGCAGAAUGUAAUUAGCAGUUCUAUCAGCAGGAGUUUACAUUUUUCAAUUAUUAUUACAUCAAAGUUGGCUUUACGUGUGCAUCUUGUAUAAUCAACAGAGGCCAGGUUCUCGCAUACUUUCAAAGAGCAGAUACAGCCUUCCUGUAGAGACAAUCCUCCUGACUUUUUUCAUGUGCUUCGAGAGUGAAGGUGGUACAGAGCACCUAGUUAAGGUGAUAUAAGCAUCUGGCCCUAAGCACUACAUAGUGUGCUUGGUUGCCUAGAUUUGAGGGAAGAGAGUGAAAGCACACUGAUGUAAUACUGGUGCAAAUCUUAUACCUCCUUGGCCCAAAUUAUUAUGGAUCUCCUCACAAGAGCUAUGAGAGAAUCAUGUAAGGAUUAAGGAGAUUAGAACAAGAAAUGAGGCAUGUAGCAGUGAAGAGAUAUGUAGUUCUUAGAACUUAAUCAGGUGCACAAGAGAUUAUUUUAAGCAAGGACUGGACAGAACAUUGAUAAGAACUGGUUGUAAUUAUGACUUCUUGCAAAUUAAGACUUGUAAAUUGAAGCUUCUAACUGUGCCACAUGAGGAGCUGUUUGAUCUGUACCCAAAGACAUGGCUUUUUAAUGCAGUGAGGGGUUUGAUAGCUUCACAAAAUUUAAUGUUACAACAAAAAGUUACUGCUUUUUAGUGUCAUGUGUUAUUUAUGAUUAUUAAUGAAUCCCAUACAUAAGGCUCUCUGUACUUACCAGUCCACGUAGAUGAACAUUAUAAACCUUUUCCUUGUAGUGGUAAAGAUCUGUUACUUCGACAUGUAAUUUAAUUAGCACUUUAAGUAAUGUGAGGUUUUUUCUGUUGAAUGAAUUUGGAUGCUUGUCUUAUGGUUAAAUACCACACACAUGCAAAGCCAAAUUCUGCUCUUGGGUUUAUAACUUCAAGCUUGCUGGCACUUACUGCAUCUUGCUGAAAUGAGGCAUCCAGUUAAGUGAAGCAUGUAUUCACCCUGAUUUCUUUUCCAGUCAAUGGAGAGAUUUCAGCAGACUAAUUAGUCGACUGGAAGAUGCCUACGUUACUUAUUGAUGACAGAGAAUGCCCAGCAUGCCCACACCCUGAAACAGGUGACAUGAAUCUGAGCCAUUGACCUAGGAUGUCCUUAUAUGCCUUAGGAUAGACCUCAGCUCUUAAUAUUUUGAACUAUUCAUUUGCAGAAUGUUCUUAUAUUCAAUGAGUUAACUCACACAAUAUUCAAUAAAACUGUCAAAAAUAAUCAUUUUUCUUGUAAAAAAAAAGAAAAUAAAAGAAAAAAAGGCCCAAAACAGCAAAUCAAAGUUAGGGCUUAUUUUUCCUCAUGUUGCUCCCCGUGCUGGUGGUGUUGGUCAGACCUUUGUAUACUAAUACUUCUUUCUUCUUUUUACUUACUUCUUGUAAAUCUAAAUUAAAAGUUAAUAAAUUUUGUGGACUUUUUAAACUCAUGACAGGAGAAUGCAUACUAUUUUAUCUCAGAAAGCAAUGUCAGAAAAGAGAACUUAAUAUGAAAAACUGGACUGCGCUCCUUCAAGGCAAGAUGUUGGCAUCACAUCAGAGGUCACUUAAUAGUGCAUCUAAAAGUAAUAUUUUGGUGACUGACUUCUGAAUGGGUACAAAUAAAAAUGCUAUCUUAGAAGGAAGAGGCCUCAACUCAGCUGAUGCAGAAGACUGAGCAAUGCUUCUCCUAAUAAAGAUUUCCAACAUCCUGCAAUAUUUGCAUUAUUCUUGGAGCGGCUCCUGACCAUGACAUAUAGGGUUACUUGCAGCAGCUGCAAUCAACUGGUAUGCGAUGGUACACUAACCAGUAUUUGAAAUGCCAUAUAUGCCAGCCAGUAUUGUGAAAUAAAUUUUACAGCAGGAAGUACUGCACUUUUUGCCUGUAGCAUUACAUUUCUGUUUCAGUCGCUAGCAGCAUGGAGAUCAUCAGAUAAUGUCUUUGUACUGGCCGGACUUUGACCCUGGGAACUCCCCACAACAACAUAGUACUCAAAGAAGAUAGAUUGAUGUACAUGAAUAAAAGCAUAGAAACCGUUCAAUUUAUUAAUGAUGCCAAGAAAUACUCGAUGAUAAUAAAAAGCCUCCAUACAUAAACUUGGAAAAUAGUUUUGUACAUAAGUUUUCUCUCAUUUUUGAAGGGAGGUUUAUGAGGACAAAUUCACAUGAGCUGCGAUAGUUUCUUCCAAUAGGAAAACUCAAUCUAGAGCAAUCCAGAGAUUAAAACCCUGAAAAGUAAAGCAUAUAUUUGUUUUUAGUUUAUGGUGUUGAUGCAAAGAAAUAGAACUGUUCGACAAGUGUAAUCUGUACAUUGUCUGGAAUAAUCUAGGAUAGGCUUUGCCUUAACCAUUUUGAAGUUUGCAACAAGAUACUGAAAAAUGUACCCCUUUCCUCAGCUUCCAGCUGCUCCUGUAGCUCUGCUCCUAGAGUUCCCCCACCUGCCUCCAGGCACAUGGCUUCCCACUGCUGUGUCCACCCUGCUCCUGGGCAGGUCCCAUGGUCCUUGUGCCAGGGACAUCUCCAUCACAAGGUCACCAUGAAGGGAAUGGGGACUUCCAUUCCUUCUCUUCAAGGCAAAUCUCAGCAAAACAGGCAGUGGGCAGACUGCCAGGGCAGCAUAUUUUACACUCUUCACACAGGGUUUCUUGCUGGGCAAAGCUGGUUUUCAGUACCACAACCUUCACGAGACAAAAAUGUAAUUUGAAAAAGGAAGUAUGUGUGUUUAAUUCAAACCAAAGGCUUACAGAGACAACCUCUUAGACUUGGACACAACUCUUUCCCUCGUGUUUAGUCUUUUAUGUUGGCCUGCAGAAGUCAGUGAGACUGGCAUCCCUCAUUAAUUAAUACUAGAUUAAUGAAGUCUGCAGGAAAACAACUUCGGCCUUGUCCAGGCAUGUCUGCAGGCUGGAGAUGGGUUAAUCAGCCACAUGAUGGGAAGUUCAUGCUUCUAGUUCAGCUGGGGGAAAACAGGCAUUACCUAAUCCAAUAGAAACCAGAAGUAGCACAGAGAGACAAUAUGUGAUCAGACCUAAGCACUGCAGGUGCAGAGUUAACUCGUUAAUAAUUUUUGAGCAAAGUUGAACUAAUGAGUGUUUUAUACAGGACACAUGUUCAUGCCCUGUGUGUUUUUUUCCUGGCUCCAGGAACCUGACAAACAUCCCUAUUGCAUGGUCCAGCCACAGCCUGAGGUUUGCCUGCACAGGUUGUACAUCCCACUUCCCAUGGAGCUGUUUGGCAGCUUGGAAAGGGAGAAUGGCCAACGUAUUGGAACACCAAAUAGUCUCAAAAAUGGUUAUGCUUCUAUUCUGCCUGAUGUUCCCACUGUCAGUUAUAUAAAUGUAGCAACAUUAUUAUUGUAGGGCAGGCUAUUUUAAGACAGACAGACAGAGUUACAUUUCAACAUUUAUUUGCAUUCUUAGUUUUGCCAUUGCAUAUGUUAGAUCUUUCUUUUUUUUUUUUUUUUUUUUUUUUGUCAAAAUGGCUCACCUAGGACUAAAGUCUAGCACAUAUUCCCAAAAGAGGGAUGCCAAGCUGAACUGUGAAAUACAUGUGUUAUUUCAUGCUCUUCUACUGUUACUUGAGAUGAAUUUAGUCAUGCCAGUCCCACUCAAGCUCCUCUAAAACAGAUUAAUCAAAUGGAGUCUCUAGAUGUCCACAAUUUUUAAGACUCAGGCUGCAGAGAUGUCAAAUCGGGGAAAGAAAACUAGCAACCACUGGUUCAAAGACUUGUCUCUAACUUCUUUCAGUUCCCUCCUCAGUGAAAUAGGGGAACCUGCACUCCUCAUUAAAGUGACUCAAAGUCCAUGGACAAAGGUACCAGAGAACAAGGUGUAGGUGUUCUAAGACUCAGCUCUCAAUGAAGAAUUUUCUUCCUUCCUAGUGAGAUUUCUGUGCCAUCCUAUAUAGACUGCAGUGAGUGUUUUGUCCCUCAGUACUUUCUUGCAUUUGACAUGUUCUUCACUAUAUUUGAGAGUAAAAGAGACCUUACAGUGGCUUCUCCACAAGGGCAUUACUAAUUAAAACUUCCUGAGAAUGAGAGUCCUUUCAUCACUCUUCCUCAGCCCCCCAUACAGGACUUUCUUAGGAUAUGUGAUUUGAUGUCCCAUUAGUCUCUUCUUGUGGCCUGAAUCUUCCCUCUUUCAUGUCCUCUUCUGCUUUUUAACAUUGUGGAGAUUGUCUGAAGCCAGCAGCAAGCUGUAAAAGUUUUUCAUUGCUAGCAUUUCUUUUUCAACGCAGCCUUGCUAUAUAUGACCACUCCAGCAGAGAAAGCCUUUGAAAUGCAUGAGGCUCCACAGCAUGGUCACAGUCAGGAUGAGCAUAUUAAAAAAAAAAAAAAAAAAGAAAAAAAA